rnacentral:lncRNA from 1 species
AGAAACUCGCCCUCCAGCUCUGCCAGUUGCAACUUCGAAUAGGGCUUGCGCUUCUUCCGAGAGCGGCUGUUGAUCGGGUACCAGGGCGCGCCUGGGUGGAGAUGAAUGGCAGGGGUUGGCCAAAGGAUCAAAGGGUGACCAGUCCAGUGCCCUUGGCCCUUCCCCAGACCCUUUCACCUUCGCCUCACAGCUGGACUCCAGGCCCUUUCUCUCCCUUCUCCUUGCCGCCAGUCAUCUGAAUCGUCUUUUCUACCCAGACCCACAUCCCCACCAACUCCCCCACUUUCUUUACUCUUUUUUUUCCUUUCAUUCUUUGCUCUUACCUCCUCAACCCUACCUCCUGCUGCACUAUUCAUGACCCUUCUAAGUCCCUAUCCCCUCCUUUUUUCCCAAACCUCUCCCCAAUUUUCUUCUUCCCUAUUUCCUGGUCCCUUCCUCUCACAUCCUUCAGGACUGGAUCCCGGAUCAGUUACAACAGAUAUGGGCGAAUGGCAGAGUAAACGCAUCCACUGGCAUUUCUUUCGAAAUCUCUUUAUCCUCAGGAAUUUGGAGAGACAUUUGGAGUCCUCUUCCCCAAUACUCAAGGAUAAUUGAUAAUGCCGGGUUUUCCUCUGGAGCCGGGAGCCACCCAGCCUCACACCUCCACUCACGGCUAGAGGAAGGAUGCGGAAGGGAGGUAGAGAAUGCAGCAAAAGGAGGUGCCUAGCUCCACAUGGACCUGCCUGCCUGCUCCUGAAAAUCUGGGGGCGAACUACUCUUCUGCUGUCAUUUCCGGGGAACUGAGGAGCUUCUGGGGGCCUCCUGGAGUCUUUGCAGUGGGAAGCUUUGGACCCCUAACAGGGCUUGACUGGGCUGAGAGGGGCCUAAUUCUCACUGCGGAGGAGACAACUGCACCCCAGAACCGGCCAAGCCUGCCCCUGGGACCAUCAGAUAGCAGUGCAGAGGCCCGCAGUAGGUUGCCUCCUGAGGGGGCUAGGAUUGAGGGAAAAAACCCUUGAAGAAUUAUCUUAUUGGGGGGUGAAAUUAUAUUUAUGGUGCAAACUCAGAAGCUCCCUCCAGAGAAGGCCGAGAAGCAAUGCUGGCCAUUGGUGAGAUAAUCAACAUCUGCAAAACCACAAUCCGAUCUCAACUAGGUCCACAGAACACAGCCAAGCGGAUUAAAAAGAAAGACAAAAUAAAACUCCCCCAAACCAGAUGUAUCCUUUUGGGGUCUAAUAGAAAAAACACUCGAAUUUCCAUGUGAUUAUUUCGAGCUUCUAACCAAUGCAUGGCUUAAGUAAUACAGGGUUGGAUAAAUAGUUCAGUAAACGUCUAAAUACGAAAAAAUACCAGAAGAUUGAAAGAAAAUUGGAGACAGAGAUUCGGAGAGAAUGAGAAAGAAACCCAUUUAGGUGAAAGUUAAAUAUCAGAGAAAGCCUGAGAAUAAGCCAAAGCUG